GAAGUCCUUUUCUUUCAUCUUCAG
rnacentral:piRNA from 1 species